UACGAAGGGGGCUAGCGUUGUUCGGAAUUACUGGGCGUAAAGCGCACGUAGGCGGAUUGUUAAGUGAGGGGUGAAAUCCCAGGGCUCAACCCUGGAACUGCCUUUCAUACUGGCAAUCUAGAGUCCAGAAGAGGUGAGUGGAAUUCCGAGUGUAGAGGUGAAAUUCGUAGAUAUUCGGAGGAACACCAGUGGCGAAGGCGGCUCACUGGUCUGGUACUGACGCUGAGGUGCGAAAGCGUGGGGAGCAAACAGGA
rnacentral:rRNA from 1 species